AUGGAGCAGACAGGAUGGGAAACAGGACAUGGAAACUUGACUUGAGACUGUCGGAUCAUUUUGUGCUUCAGUGAUUCCCGCACAACUCUUUCAAAUAUACUUUGCAAAACCAAAAUUAGUCGGCUUAAUUUGAUCAGCAGGUGAUUUAAUGAUAAACUGCAUACAAGGCAAGGUCAGAAUAAUGAGAUCACCCAAAUGUCAACAUUAAGUCUCUGCAAAGUGACAGAUUGGAUUUCUGUUCCAGAGCAACUUCCUUCCUGGCACGAUAUCUGCCUGGAGGGAGUUGAAUUAAUUGUUGUAAUUUCUAACAACACUUUGGGCUGAAUACUUUUAUUCUGGGCACAGUCAUUAACAAUCAUGUGACGACAGCUCAGCUGCUGUAAUCAAGCAGUAGGAGGAGAAAAAACUGAAUUUAAACUACUUUCUGAUUACAUGUUGUGUCAUUUUGUUAAGCUGGGAAGGAAACUGCAUAAAACAAUUUAAUUUAGAGAGAGAAGAAAACGAUCCAGGGGUAGAAUCAGACUGUCAUGACUGAGUCUGAUCAGGCAAAAACUUGUUUUUAAAAGCAAUUAUUUUCUUGCGCUUAUCCGAUCACUUUUAUUAUUUCUGCUGGAAGCUAUUUAGAUAAUUCUCCUCCCAACUGUGCUCCUGUCACUUUAGCAAUGCCAUUUCAUUUUACAAAUAGUGUAAGUAUACCAUGUUAAGCUUCAGGAUGAAGACACAGCAUCAUUUUCAUGUGGAACUUUUCCAUCUCAAGCUCUAAUUCCACUUUAGAAUCUUUGUGAAGAAAGACAGAGAGCAUGUCUUUGCACAUCUGUGCUGACUGACACUUCAGUCCUUGAACUGCUGAUGAACCAUGGAGUUCAGUCCACCAAUGUCUGGGGAUUAAAGGAAAUCUUGUUUGUUAAAGAUCACUGAGCAAUCAAAAAAAAAAAAAAAAGCACUGCACUGUUUGUCAUAAACUUUCACAUGUAGACUUAUUUGAGGUUUUCUUGCCAGUUCUUGUCAUGGUUCUGCUCUGCUCCUUCACCCCUCCCUUCCUUCCUCCACCCUAAUCUCACUCACCUGUGCUGAUUAAGCUCCCAUUGUGCUCCAGCUAGUGUUCACACUAUUUAAGGUCCUCAGUUUCACAUCCACCCUGCCAGUUCGUUGAAUCAGUCACGUUCCAGCUAGUAACUAUCCUUGCACUUUUAGUCUUUUCAUGUUUUUGACCCUUUUCUGGCCUGGUAACGAGUUUAAGCCUGUCCCCUGUCUGGAGUUUUUCUGCCCUGGUUUUUCCUCCUCCGUUUCCAUCCUGAAGAGGCGUGACGUUUCCAGUUCCCUCAUCUCUACACGGAGUAAAGCUGCCCCAACACUGGUCUUCACCCUCCGGUGGAUUCUCCUCCUGUACACCGCAGCAGUGUAGGAAUCUUCCAUCAUUCCUGACACCAUCCGCCCUGCACUCGGACGCCUCAAAGGCUCUUCUCUCACGUCUGCUUCUGGAGCUCUAAGCUCACCUGUGCAUCUGGCGGCCCACUGAAUAAUUCUACCUCCCUAAUAAACACUUUAAUUGUGA